AGUGCCAGAGUGUUAGCCAGUAAUGAACCUGACCUGUCUGAAAACCUGAAACCGGGAAAGUGACUCAGUCUGGAAUCUGCCUGCCUGCAUUCGGUCAGUCUCUGCAUGCCGACAAACCUCUGGACCCUCAGGGUUACCCCCCUCCUGCUGAUCUGAUCCGCCCCAGAGCAGUGGUGAUCCUCCCGUGACCAGUCGGACCAACCCAGUUCCAGUGCACAUUUGAAAACUCUGUGAAUAAAUCUUUGAACUUUU